AACGAACGCUGGCGGCAUGCCUAACACAUGCAAGUCGAACGAGACCUUCGGGUCUAGUUGCGCACGGGUGCGUAACGCGUGGGAACCUGCCCUUAGGUUCGGAAUAACUCCCCGAAAGGGGUGCUAAUACCGGUUAAUGUCUUCGGACCAAAGAUUUAUCGCCUUUGGAUGGGCCCGCGUUGGAUUAGCUAGUUGGUAGGGUAAAAGCCUACCAAGGCGACGAUCCAUAGCUGGUCUGAGAGGAUGAUCAGCCGCACUGGGACUGAGACACGGCCCAGACUCCUACGGGAGGCAGCAGUGGGGAAUAUUGGACGAUGGGCGAAAGCCUGAUCCAGCAAUGCCGCGUGAGUGAUGAAGGCCUUAGGGUUGUAAAGCUCUUUUACCCGGGAUGAUAAUGACAGUACCGGGAGAAUAAGCUCCGGCUAACUCCGUG
rnacentral:rRNA from 1 species